rnacentral:tRNA from 1 species
CGGGGUGUGGCGCAGUUGGUUAGCGCACCUGCUUUGGGAGCAGGGGGUCGUGCGUUCGAGUCGCACCACCCCGACCA